rnacentral:rRNA from 1 species
GUGGGGAAUUUUGGACAAUGGGCGAAAGCCUGAUCCAGCCAUGCCGCGUGCAGGAUGAAGGCCUUCGGGUUGUAAACUGCUUUUGUACGGAACGAAAAGACUCCUUCUAAUAAAGGGGGUCCAUGACGGUACCGUAAGAAUAAGCACCGGCUAACUACGUGCCAGCAGCCGCGGUAAUACGUAGGGUGCAAGCGUUAAUCGGAAUUACUGGGCGUAAAGCGUGCGCAGGUGGUUAUAUAAGACAGAUGUGAAAUCCCCGGGCUCAACCUGGGAACUGCAUUGGUGACUGUAUAGCUAGAGUACGGUAGAGGGGGAUGGAAUUCCGCGUGUAGCAGUGAAAUGCGUAGAUAUGCGGAGGAACACCGAUGGCGAAGGCAAUCCCCUGGACCUGUACUGACGCUCAUGCACGAAAGCGUGGGGAGCAAACAGGAUUAGAAACCCCUGUAGUCC